rnacentral:rRNA from 1 species
UACAGAGGGUGCAAGCGUUAAUCGGAAUUACUGGGCGUAAAGCGUGCGUAGACGGUUAUGUAAGUCAGGUGUGAAAGCCCCGGGCUCAACCUGGGAAUUGCAUUUGAGACUGCAUAGCUAGGGUGCGGAAGAGGGAAGCGGAAUUUCCGGUGUAGCGGUGAAAUGCGUAGAUAUGCGGAGGAACACCGAUGGCGAAGGCAAUCCCCUGGACCUGUACUGACGCUCAUGCACGAAAGCGUGGGGAGCAAACAGG